rnacentral:lncRNA from 1 species
CUAAAUCUCUUCUUCUCUUAAAUUCUCUAUAAACCCGAGCCGCCUAUCUUCGUCUUCAACCACAUCCACCGUCGUCCAUGGCUUCUCAGGCCAUGGAUAGCCCAUACUCACCCCCCUUUCACCCCAACCCAUGAUUAUUCGAGGCUUUCAAGGUUCAACCUUCAACACACCUGUUCAGGUACCCCGCUGACAUGAGCUCCUUUGGCUUCUCCAGCACCGUUCCAUUGUGUAUUCGAGCUUUGAAAGGCUUAGCCAUGGCCCAGAUUUGGUCCAAGACCAGACCAUUCCAGGCCUUCUCGUCUCUAUGGUUUUUGAGAAACCCAAAAAAGCUUGAUUUGAGAUUUUUCUUUCCUUAUUUUCUUAGAUCUGUAGCGGAUCUAUGCUCUAUUCGGUGUUUUAACGAUAUUCCC